rnacentral:lncRNA from 1 species
ACUCCUCCUGAGGAGGAUCUUCUGGGGCCCAACUGUUACUAUGACAAAUCCAAGUCCUUCUUUGACAACAUCUCUUCUGAACUCAAAACAAGUUCGAGGCGGACGACAUGGGCUGAGGAGAGGAAGCUGAACACCGAGACUUUUGGAGUGUCAGGGAGGUUCCUUCGUGGCCGCAGUUCACGUGGUGGAUUCCGAGGAGGCAGAGGAAAUGGGACAACACGGCGCAACCCCACUUCCCACCGAGCUGGGACUGGCCGGGUAUAAGGCUGCAGUACAAGGUCCUGAAGCAGCCGUGGUGCUGCCCAGAAGAUAAGGACAGAAGGAAAGGCUACAGUCUGCAGAAGUGGACCUUGUUUACCAGUCUGGAACCCUCAUACUGCUACUUAGUUUUGGACUUAACCUAACUUGGACUUGGUCUGAGAGUUAGAACCACUUGGUUUUUGGGAAGUACUUGUAGGUGACCCCUGAAGGUGUCUUGACCUACAUUUCCUUCUUGGUUGCACACAGCCUAAUAGUAAGGUUUUGGUAUUUUGCAAAAAGGUUUCUAUAGGCAAAGGCUCAAUCCUCACUUUGUAACUUUUUUUUUUUUUAAUGACAGCUUUGACUCUUAAAAUGGAACCAAAUUUUAUUUGGCACAUGCAGUGUCCAAAUGUCUCUGCAACCCAUCUGGCCCCUGGUGCUGCUGGUCUGGUACCCCAACUGCUAAAAGUGGGAAGUCUCAGGAGCCAGGCAGG